AAGGGAAGCAGAAGUGACUAAUAUAAGAGGGAGAGAGGAGAAGCAAGUGUAUGGAGGAGCAGAGCAGGCUCAGUCCAAGAUGUAGCUGCCUUUCUUUCCUCUGCGCCCUGAUCAAGCCUGGAGAUGGCAGACCAAGUAGUCACAGCAGCCCA